AAACCCAGCAGAGGUUCUCCAGUUAAACUAGUUUCUGAUGUUUCGAGCAGAGCGACAUCAUGGCGACUGCAGCACCUGAGCCAGAUGUGGAACCUGUGAAGCGCAGCAGCAGCUUUGAGUUCCUGUCACCCAACAUGUCAGAUGUGCGACACAUGAUGUACAGCAGCAGCAAGAGCAACAGCAGCGAUGAUGAAUUCUUGAAAUCUGACUUGUCAGAUGUGGAACCUGUGAUGCUCGGCAGCAGCUUAGGAGUCCUGCCACCUGACAUGUCUGAGCUGAGGGUUGUUCUGCUGGGGAACAGCUGGUCUCAGAGCAGUUCAGUGGGGAACUUCAUACUGGGAGAGACUAAGUUCAACACUGAGGAAGAACCAGACUGCUGUCAGAGAGAAAGAGGACGGUUUAAGGAGAAAGAAAUAGUUCUCAUCAACACUCCAGAUCUGCUGUUUCCCAGCAUCUCUGAAGACAAACUGAGAGAACAUGUGACAAACUGUGUGAGACUCUCUGAUCCUGGACCUCAUGUGUUCCUGCUGGUUCUACAGCCUGAAGACUUUACUGAGGAACUCAAACUGAGACUCUGCAGAGUCCUGAAACUCUUCAGUGAUCGAUCAUUUGAUCAUUCACUGGUUCUGAUAUCAACACCCAGAGAGGAGAGUCCAGGUUUCAUGGACAAAUACAUGAACCAUCCGCCCUUAAAAGACAUGAUCAGAAAAUGUCACGACAGGUUUUUGUGGAGGAAAAACCUCGAACUUGCAGAGCUGCUAACACGCCUGGGUCAGAUUGUGAGAGAGAACAAUGAACAGCAUCUGAGUUUACCAAGAGAGCCAGAUGUGGAACCUGUGAAGCGCAGCAGCAGCUUUGAGUUCCUGCCACCCGACAUGUCUGAGCUGAGGGUUGUUCUGCUGGGGAACAGCUGGUCUCAGAGCAGUUCAGUGGGGAACUUCAUACUGGGAGAGACUAAGUUCAGCACUGAGGAAGAACCAGACUGCUGUCAGAGAGAAAGAGGACAGUUGAAGGAGAAAGAAAUAGUUCUCAUCAACACUCCAGAUCUGCUGCAUCCCAACAUAUCUGAAGACAAACUGAGAGAGCAUGUGAGAGUCUGUGUGAGACUCUCUGAUCCUGGACCUCAUGUGUUCCUGCUGGUUCUACAGCCUGAAGACUUCACUGAGGAAGUCAAACUGAGACUCUGCAGAGUCCUGAAACUCUUCAGUGAUCGAUCAUUUGAUCAUUCACUGGUUCUGAUAUCAACACCCAGAGAGGAGAGUCCAGGUUUCAUGGACAAAUACAUGAACCAUCCGCCCUUAAAAGACAUGAUCAGAAAAUGUCACUACAGGUUUUUGUGGAGGAAAAACCUCGAACUUCCAGAGCUGCUAACACGCCUGGGUCAGAUUGUGAGAGAGAACAAUGAACAGCAUCUGAGUUUGCCAGAAGAGCCAGAUGUGCCACACAUGAUGUACAGCAGCAUCAUCAGCAGCACCAGCAGCACCAGGAGCGGCAGCAGCGGCUACAGCAGCACCAGGAGCGGCUACAGUGAUGAUGAAUUCUUGCUAUCUGACUUGCCAGAUGUGAAACCUGAGAGGCACAGCCAAAACAGCUUAGGAGUCCUGCCACCUGACAUGUCUGAGCUGAGGGUUGUUCUGCUGGGGAACAGCUGGUCUCAGAGCAGUUCAGUGGGGAACUUCAUACUGGGAGAGACUAAGUUCAACACUGAGGAAGAACCAGACUGCUGUCAGAGAGAAAGAGGACAGUUGAAGGAGAAAGAAAUAGUUCUCAUCAACACUCCAGAUCUGCUGCUUCCCAGCAUCUUACAACACAGACUGAGAAGACCUGUAGAAAACUGUGUGAGACUCUCUGAUCCUGGACCUCAUGUGUUCCUGCUGGUUCUACAGCCUGAAGACUUCACUGAGGAAGUCAAACUGAGACUCUGCAGAGUCCUGAAACUCUUCAGUGAUCGAUCAUUUGAUCAUUCACUGGUUCUGAUGUCAACACCCAGAGAGGAGAGUCCAGGUUUCAUGGACAAAUACAUGAACCAUCCGCCCUUAAAAGACAUGAUCAGAAAAUGUCACUACAGGUUUUUGUGGAGGAAAAACCUCGAACUUCCAGAGCUGCUAACACGCCUGGGUCAGAUUGUGAGAGAGAACAAUGAAAAGCAUCUGAGUUUACCAAGAGAGCCAGAUGUGCCACACAUGAUACACAGCAGCAGCAGCAGCAUCAGCAGCAGCGGCUGCAGCAGCUACAACGAUGAAGAAUUCUUGCUAUCUUCCAGUAAGUUAAACUGAACUCAGUGAGAAAUAUUCUCGUCCGUAUUAACAUCUAGAAUCACAGCGUUUUGUAGGUGGUGGAAACAAACUCACAUUUUAUUUUGAUGCAAUAUUCUCAAGUUCACUGGUGAAUUUGGACGUUUCAAGUUGACAAUGGAAGACAGAUGGCGUCUGAAGCAAAACCUGCAUCGUUUGUGCGCAGAGAGUGAACCCUCAGACAGACUGCAUCUUGUAAUGGGAGACCUCCUGUCUUAACUGCCUUUCCAGAGUUCACACUGCUGAGCUGUGAAAAGGAACAUUUGGCCCAUUAGGUGGAACACAGAUUCUGAGGAAUCGUCCCCAACUGGGGGGCGACGUUAUCAGUCUGUUACGGCUGUGAAAAUGUCGAUGCUGCUUGUGUGACUGGUGACUUCCUCACUGGUUGUUAGUCCAGUUUCAUUGAAUUCAACAUGGAUUCAGUUUACACCUGUUGAGUUUUCUAAUUCACUGUUUUCUUUUCAGUGUAUAAGCUGAUGUCUAGGCUGAUAUCUGAGUUCCUAAGACUGCGGAGGACCUGGGCUGCGUCAAAGCAUCGUUGAACCUGAAGCGUCCGAGGAGCUGCAUGAUCGUUCAUUGAGAAUUGUUGAACCUGAAGGUGAGGAAAAGGAGGAAAAAAUCAGGAAGGAAGAAGAGAAGAGAGAGAAAGAACAGACAAUCAGAAGAAGAAAUUAAGAGGUUUUGUUGUGUUUAUCUGUCAAUUUGGUAGCCAUGUGUUAUAUCUUGCUUUUAUAUUUAUAUAUAUAAUAUGCCUUAUAGCCGACUAAUGUUCUGAGAUAUUAUUGGUGUUUGUUUAAUUAUGGCAGCAUUUAAUCCUCUGAUUAUACGUUAAUUGAUUAAUUCAGUCUAUUUGUUCUGUUGUAAGUAAUUUAACCUGGGUGAACCCAUGUACAUAAUGGUGAUUAUUAUGCUAUGUAUAUGCCCUACACUUUGUUGUUUAAUUUCUGUUGUAUUUCUGCAGAACCACACAAGUUCACAAAUCUAGUCUAAAUUCUGUCUAAGUGCCCUGUGCUCUGGUGUGCCUCCAAUCUGAUUAUUGAAGUGCAGAUUGAAUGAACACUGGGAGCUUGUUUGGUUUAACGAUCUAAAGGACCCAAAAGCAGGACACAGCGAGACAGAGAACCGGAUGUUAGUUCAGACAGUCUUUAUUGUAAAUACUACAGAAGAUCACUUAUAGACGAAUGCUCCUCCAGAGCGGGCGAGGCAGGAGUCCACUGGAGCCGGUGGCAGGAUUUCCGAUGUGGCCCGUGGGGGGACCGGCAGGGCUCAGAGGGCGAAGGCGGUGGAGAGAGUGUUCUGGAGACGGCUCGGGUAGUGUGGCAGGCAGAGAGGUGGAGGUAGCUUCACUGGAGACUGCAGAGAUCAGGUAGACCACGAUGGCUGGAAUCAAUGGCAGGGAGUUAAUCUGGAGCAGAGACUGACAAGGUCACACUGGAACAAACGAGCAACUGGGAAACUCAACUGGGUCAGGAUUUAGGCCGUAGCGAAGGUACCGCAAUGGUGCACUGAGAUGAUCUGCCACUGGUUGAAUGGUAGAGCCGAUGGUACAUAUACUGUGGCUAAACUAUGACAUAGCUCAUUUGUGUGGAGACAUGAUAUUGGGAUAGGCUAUGUACUAAAUGUGGAGAUGAGAUGUGCAGCGGCAGAAACUGUGGAAAAAGAACCCAAGUGUAAUCAGUGUGGGGGGAGUCAUGAAACAUGGCAAGCAGACUGUCCAAAGAUGGAAGUCAUGAGGAUCAGGUCCAAGAGAAGGAUCAGCCACGAGGAAGCAGCUAGGAAAGAAAAGAUUCAAGAAGUAAGGGAGAACAAAUCAGUUAUGUGCUCGCUAGCUAAUGCUGGAAGCCAGAAACAAACAUCUAUGAUCCGUUUUUUGUUGAUAAUCUAAUCAAAGAACACAUUUUCUUGCGGUGGCCUUUUGAAAAUGAGCAGUGGUGAAAGUUACUAUAUUCUGUUAUGAUCGAUGAGUUGAUAAGCAGACAGCGUUAGCUAGUUGCAAAGUUGUCCGUGCAAAACAAAUGACAAAUGGAGCAGCGUGAGUUGUUUGUGUGCCUCCCCCCCUUAUAAUACUGUGAAGUGAUUCGCUGAAUUAAAAUGUGGUGAAAUUAGUUUUUGACUGACCAAAUUAAAAAAUGAUUAAUAACUGAUUGACAGUUACCACUCCCUCUCACAGUCUCCUGUCUGCAGAGAUACAAACUUGCAUUGUGCGCACUAGCGUUUCCUUUAACCCCGCCUCCCUCGGCGGCCUUGGGGCUGCACAAGCCGGCUAAGUUCCAGUUUAGCCCUCCACUAACUCGAAUGGGGAUAAAAUGAUUUAAUCGUGCGGCUCUUCUAGUCUUUCCAAACGUUAUUGACCGAAUGGAUCUAAUUCGGAUAGUGAAACGAGUAAUUUCGCGGGGGUUGUGACGUUGAAAAAAAAUGUAUCCACUGUUUUACUGCCGCUUCUUUCACAGUGUAAGUCUAUGGGAAAAAGUGUUGUGGGGCCAGUCUGCAUCACCCGGAAGUUGUAAUUCCACGGUUUGUCCGAUACGUCAAGUUGGCUUCAAACCCGGCGCACUUCCUGUGGGCUUCUCUCUGUCGCGGUAUUGUUUUUAACUGAGAUGGUGAAGGCAUGACCCGCCCUACUCUGCUCUGCCUUUGAUUGGCUUACCCUGUUAUUCUUACCCUAACCAAUCUCACUCCUCUUGCCUAAACCUACCCAACCCAACCAUGGAAGGCAACAAGUACUAGCCAAUCGGAGGCAGAGUUAGGUGGCACAUGACUUCACCAUCCUAGGAAAAAACAUUUGGCCUCCCGGUCUCACAUUUUGUCCUGUAUUUCAGGUGACAUUGUUGUGAACUACUACUGCUUAGUGCUUAGGCUACUCCUGAGAUCCAUAUGCGUUUGUAAGUGCUAUAACUGCACAAUCUGGAAAUGUAUCUUCUUGUUCAUAUAAAUAAACACACACUGGUUUGUC